rnacentral:rRNA from 1 species
CCNNCCNNNUNUUNNNUCUCUCNNCCNCNUNCNNNANNNNNNCGGAAANNGCUCUUUUNUUUUUAAAGUCCUUCUUCGGAGGUGUGCUUAAAGAGGGGCUUGCGUCACAUUAGUUAGUUGGUAGGGUAAUGGCCUACCAAGACGAUGAUGUGUAGCUGGAUGAGAGGUUGAACAGCCACAUUGGGACUGAGACACGGCCCAAACUCCUACGGGAGGCAGCAGUAGGGAAUUUUCGGCAAUGGAGGAAACUCUGACCGAGCAACGCCGCGUGAACGACGAAGUACUUCGGUAUGUAAAGUUCUUUUAUUGAAGAAGAAACAAUAGUGGAAAAACUAUCUUGACGUUAUUCAAUGAAUAAGCCCCGGCUAACUAUGUGCCAGCAGCCGCGGUAAUACAUAGGGGGCGAGCGCUAUCCGGAAUUAUUGGGCGUAAAGGGUGCGUAGGCGGUUUAAUAAGUCUCUAGUUCAAUUUCAACGCUUAACGUUGUCCUGCUAGAGAAACUGUUUGACUAGAGUGAGAUAGAGGUAAGCGGAAUUCCAUGUGUAGCGGUAAAAUGUGUAAAUAUAUGGAGGAACACCACAGG